CCCGGCCCCUGCUCCUCCCCAAGAUCCUUCUGUCUCUGAUCUCUGAUCUCUGACCUGCGUUCUUAGCUGGGACGUCGAGUUCUCCCAGGAUAAUUAUCGACCAGCAGAACCAGCCUGAAACCACCACUGAAACACAAUUUAUGCCUUGCUAUCUUCCUAAGGAUUAAGCAUCUGGACACAUCCUGGGAAGGACGCUACCCAGUCAUUUUAUCUACCCCCAUCGCUGUUAAAGUGGCUGGAGUUGAGUCUUGGAUACAUCACACUCAAGUCAAACCCUGGAUACUGCCAAAGGAACCCGAAAAUCCGGGAGACUACACUAGCUAUUCCUGUGAACCUCUAGAGGAUCUGCGCCUGCUCUUCAAGUGACAACCGUGAGGAAAGUAACUAGAAUCAUACAUCCCCAUGGCCCUCCCUUGUCAUAUUUUUCUCUUUACUGUUCUCUUACCCCCUUUCACUCUCACUGCACCUCCUCCAUGCCUCUGUACUACCAGUAGCUCCCCUUAGCAAGAGCUUCUAUGGAGAAUGCAGCUUCCUGGAAAUGUUGAUGCCCCAUCGUAUAGGAGUUUUUCUAAAGGAAACCCCACUUUCACCGCCCACACCCAUAUGCCCCUGCACUUCAGGCCAUACAUGUCAAUCCCUGUAUCUUUAACCUGCUUGUUAAGUUUGUCUCUUCCAGAACCAAAGCUGUAAAACUACAAAUCAUUCUUCAAAUGGAGCCCCAGAUGCAGAUCAUGUCUAAGAUCUACCGCGGACCCCUGGACUAGCCUGCUAGCCCAUGCCCUGAUGUUAAUGACAUUGAAGUCACCCCUCCUGAGGAAAUCUCAACUGCAUGACCCCUACUACACCCCAAUUCAGCAGGAAGCAGUUAACAGUGGUCGUUGGCUGACCUCCCCAACAGCACUUGGGUUUUCCUGUUGAGAGGGGGCACUGAGAGACAGGACUAGCUGGAUUUCCUAGGACUAAGAAUUCCUAAGCCUAGCUGGGGAAGGUGACUGCAACCAUCUUUAAACACAAGGCUUGUAUCUCAGCUCACACCUGACCAAUCAGGUAAUAAAGAGGUCUCACUAAAAUACAAAUUAGGCUAAAAGCAGGAGGUAAAGAAAUAGUCAAAUUACGUCUCAUCUGAGAGCACAAGGGAGGGAUAAUGAUUGUGAUAUAAACCCCCAGGCAUUCGAGCCGGGAGUGGACAACCCCUUUUGGGUCCCCUCCCAUUGUAUGGGAGCUCUGUUUUCACUCUAUUAAAUCUUGCAACUGCACACUCUUCUGGUCCAUAUUUGUUACGGCUCGAGCUGAGCUUUAGCUCACUGUCCACCACUGCUGUUUGCCGCCAUCGUAGACCCGCCACUGACUUCCACCCCUCCGGAUCCAUCAGGGUGUCCACUGAGCUUCUGAUCAAGUGAGGCACCCAUUGCUGCUCCUGAUCGGGCUAAAGGCUCACCAUUGUUCCUGCACGGCUAAGUGCCCGGGUUCAUCUUAAUUGAGCUGAACACUAGUCGCUUGGUUCCACAGUUCUCUUCCAUGACCCCUGGCUUCUAAGAGAGCUAUAACACUAACCGCCUGGCCCAGGGUUCCAUUCCUUGGAAUCUGCGAGGCCAAAAAACCCAGGUCGGAGAAUAAAAGGCUUGCCACCAUCUUGGGAGUGGCCUGCUGCAUCUUGGGAGCUGCCCACCACCAUCUUGGGAGCUCUAAGUACAAAGACCCACCCGUAACAGUAACAUCCUUCUCCCAUCCCUGGCCCCUGACAGCCACUGAUCUGUUCUCUGUUGUUACAGUUUUGUCUUUUCAAGAAUGACUUAUAAGUGGACUCAUAGGAUUUGUAAACUUUCACUGAGCAUAAUGCCUUUGAGAGUCAUCCAAGUUGUUGUAUAUAUGAAUAGUUCAUUCCUUCUUAUUUCUGAGAAGUAGUUUGUGGUGUGAACAUAUCACAGUUUAUCCAUUCACUGGCUGAAGGACAUUUGUGUUACUUCCAGCUUCUAAAAACUAUUAUUAGAGCUCCUGUAAACUUUAUGUGCAUAGGCUGUUGCAUUUUUCUACCUAGGAGUGGAUUUGCCAGAUCAUGUGGGAAGUUUAACUUUAUGAGAAACUGCCAAUCUGUUUUUCAGAGUGGCUUUACCGUAUUUCAUUCCUACUAGCAAUUUUGAAGAGUUCCAGUUACUCUGCAUCGUUACCAGUACUUGGUAGGUUUAGCCAUUUUCAUUUUUGGUAAUCUAGUAGGUACACAGUAAUUCUCGUGGUGGUUUGGAAGUGUUGAAUUUAUUUUCAUGUGUGUAUUUGCUUUCCAUAUAACUUUGAUGAUGUGUCUUUUCAUGUAUUUUGCUCAUUUUUUUCCUGAG
rnacentral:lncRNA from 10 species